rnacentral:tRNA from 1 species
GNUUAAUUAAGAAAAAUAAUAACUUGUCGAGUUAUAGAAAAUAUAAUAUUAGUA